CAUCAGAAUUAUCUUUGAUUUCUCUUUUUCUCUCACUGUCUCUUCUCCCCAAUCCAAUCUACUACCAAGUUCUAUUUGUUCACUUCCAAGGAUACUUAAAAUCCAGCUUCCCCCUUCACUUCUGCUAUCCUGAUUUGGACCACGAGAUUGGGCACUGACUUUCCCAGCCAGCACAAAGGGCUUCCUCAUUUCACUUCCCCUUAGUUUGCUGCAGCCUUUAGACUGGUGUUUUGAAGACUGCUUUUCCUGUUAGCUUCUCGGACCUUUUAGUUUCCUCUGUAGCAUUUUAUACAAUUUAAUUGAACCGGAGUUUAUUUUGUUUUGUUUUGUUUUUGUCACUGCGUUUGUCUCUACUGCCAAGUUCCAAGGUACUUCCCCUUCUCGAGCUCUGCCAAUUACUGACCCCGCGGGCCAGGGCACACCCCCACUCUUGGACCUCC
rnacentral:lncRNA from 1 species